rnacentral:lncRNA from 1 species
AUUGUGGAGUCAUGCAAGCCCAUUUCUUAGCUGGAUGGGUGAAGUGUUCCCUCAGUUCACAUAGACCAGGCUUCCUCUUUAGAGGCAUAAGCUGUAAAACAGGAGAGUCUGUUUUAAGAGGAUCUGUUUGAAGUUUAAUGUAACUGAAGUCCAUGCACCUGAAGCCAUUAAUUGAUAUAAGUGAAGUAAGUCUUUGGGUUUCCGGUAGCUCUGACUCAGAUUCUGCUUGCCUCUUCUCCAUGAGAUUACCAAGGCAUCAGGGCAGAGACUCCCUGAGGCUAUGCUAGAAGGGUACCAUUUGAAAAGGAAGUGUAUGACCCACCGUGAAAUGGAACUGGUAGCUGGUCACCCAGGUGCUCUUCCUUGUUAACUGAUGAGAGCGAUUAUUAUGUGAGAACUUUAACAACCUGCCAAAGGAUCCCGGGGCAAGAAUGAGAGCUGAACCAUUGAAAAGCUGAGCAUCGAAGUGCCUGGGAAGCCCAAAACUCAGCACAUUCAUGCUUUUGCUGGUUUUUGACCAUUGAGAAGAAAAAAGAGUCAGCAACCAGGGAGCAGGAUACUCUGGGAAAAGCUUCAUGCUUUCAAAACACUGAAUUUCAGGGAGGUCCUCGGCAAAAUCAUGAAACGAAUUUGAAUCUUACCCUUCGUUCAGGUUUCAGUCUGUGACCUUGGACCCAGAUUCCAUGAAUAGAACAUUGUCCUCGCAGGGCAGAGGCUCAAUAACUGGACAUUUUCUGGGUCCCUGAAUUUGUACAAUGAGAUAUCAACUCCAAUCUGUGAGCACAAUGCUCCAGUGACUGCCAGGAAUGGCUGCAAUAUUGAUGCCUUUCAAUGUAGAUCACAUCAUUCACCGAGCAGAGCUCAAUAAAAUGAUACUGUAGUUAACAAGUUUUAUAACACAAAGUUACUUUAAAACAUGGAACUAAUCAGAGAGAAGCCUGUUUAUGCGUGUCAGAGCCACAUUUAAUUGUCAAUAAAUAAACAAAGAUUUGCUUCACCU